rnacentral:lncRNA from 1 species
UUGCUAUAAAAUAAUAAUAUUUUUAUUUUAUUUACUCAACUUUUAUUUUAAUGCUUUACAUGUUAAUUUAAAAUUAAUCAUUGUUUCAAUUUGUAGAAUUUGUUUGAAUAUCAUCUUGAAUGUGUUUGAUUAAACUCACUUGUGCAAUUCCUAAGUUCAUUUAAACCAUGAUUUAAGUUAUAUUUUCAUAAUGACCUUCAUCCCUUAAUCAUCCUAAUUGUUAUAUUAAAUUAUUUAAAAAUCACAUACUUCUCAAUCUAAUGUUGAG